rnacentral:lncRNA from 1 species
UGCCUGGAAGUAUAAUUUUCCUGCGUUAACCGGUUAACCUAUAGCGUUAACCGGUUAACACUGUUGCAGUAUGUAAAAAUGGUUGAUUUUUAUGAUGUAAGUGUAAUUGGUGAUUGGCCUAUUGUAUCCAAUUGUGAUAAAUAAAUUCGUGGAGUCUAUGUUGUGAAAUGUUGAUGCAAAUAUGUUGAUAAGUUGUUUUUGUGGAAAAUAUUAAGUUGUAGGCUGAUGAGCCAAAGUUGAAU